rnacentral:rRNA from 1 species
UACAGAGGUCUCAAGCGUUGUUCGGAUUCAUUGGGCGUAAAGGGUGCGUAGGCGGCUUGAUAAGCGUGCGGUGAAAGCCCGGGGCUCAACCCCGGGUCGGCCGUGCGAACUGUCGAGCUGGAGCACUGUAGAGGCAGGUGGAAUUCCGGGUGUAGCGGUGGAAUGCGUAGAGAUCCGGAAGAACACCGGUGGCGAAGGCGGCCUGCUGGGCAGUGGCUGACGCUGAGGCGCGAAAGCGUGGGGAGCAAACAGG